UCUGGUAAUGAUGGCAGAGAGGCCACACCCGUUCCCAUACCGAACACGGAAGUUAAGCUCUCUAG
rnacentral:rRNA from 1 species